GAUGAACGCUGGCGGCGUGCCUAAUACAUGCAAGUCGAGCGAACAGACGAGGAGCUUGCUCCUCUGACGUUAGCGGCGGACGGGUGAGUAACACGUGGAUAACCUACCUAUAAGACUGGGAUAACUUCGGGAAACCGGAGCUAAUACCGGAUAAUAUAUUGAACCGCAUGGUUCAAUAGUGAAAGACGGUUUUGCUGUCACUUAUAGAUGGAUCCGCGCCGCAUUAGCUAGUUGGUAAGGUAACGGCUUACCAAGGCAACGAUGCGUAGCCGACCUGAGAGGGUGAUAGGCCACACUGGAACUGAGACACGGUCCAGACUCCUACGGGAGGCAGCAGUAGGGAAUCUUACGCAAUGGGCGAAAGCAUGACGGAGCAACGCCGCGUGAGUGAUGAAGGUCUUCGGAUCGUAAAACUCUGUUAUUAGGGAAGAACAAAUGUGUAAGUAACUAUGCACGUCUUGACGGUACCUAAUCAGAAAGCCACGGCUAACUACGUG
rnacentral:rRNA from 1 species